CUCGUCUUGCCUUCAGUUUUGUAUUAGUGUUUGGUUAAACAACAGUAAAAUUUAAAAUUUUGUUAAUAUUACGCCAGGAUUGGAAAUACAGUGUGCAGAUAGUUCCAGAAAUUUGGAUCUGGUGACAUCAGCGUCAAGAGAGAAGAGGGUUCUGGAUGAAAAUCAUUCAAUGCAGACACUGUGAGACUGUUGAAGCAUGAAAUUUUUCUAAAAGCAAGAGAUUUUAUAGUUGGCCAAUCCACCGUAAACCAUUAUCAUAUAAAAUAUAUAAAUACAGUUUAUUGUU